rnacentral:rRNA from 1 species
UACGUAGGGUCCGAGCGUUGUCCGGAAUUACUGGGCGUAAAGAGCUCGUAGGUGGUUUGUCGCGUUGUUCGUGAAAACUCACAGCUCAACUGUGGGCGUGCGGGCGAUACGGGCAGACUAGAGUACUGCAGGGGAGACUGGAAUUCCUGGUGUAGCGGUGGAAUGCGCAGAUAUCAGGAGGAACACCGGUGGCGAAGGCGGGUCUCUGGGCCUUACCUGACGCUCAGGUGCGAAAGCUAGGGGAGCGAACAGG